UCCGAGCGUCCGGAAGACCGUCGCCAACCAUUACUGAAAAAUAAAACAUCGAUUCACCCGUCGCGCCGCCGCCCGUUCCGAGCUCCGCGAGGUCGAUCCGCUCCCGUCGCCGUCGCCCCUAGAUCACUACCUGCCGCCGCCGUUGCCGUCGACCGCCGGCUGGAGUCCUGCGACCCGAUCCACCUACCGCGCGGGAACUCAUCCACCGGCUCGCCGUCGUCCGUUCCGAGCUCCGCUCCCGUCGCCUCCAGGUCAGUAGCUGCCGUCGGCAACGAUCGGCUGCUGGCCGGAGUCCUGCGACCCGAUGCACCUAACGCGCGGAACUAACCCAUCGGCAAAUCAGAUAAAACGCAGAGAGUCUACAUAUUGGGGAUCCUGCCAACAAGUGGAGCCCGGGACUUGCCACAAGUUGCGUGAUCAGUUCUUCCAUCCCUGCCCAUUCGGAUCUGUGCUCUGGUGCUCCAUCUUUCCACGUUAGCAGUGGAUGUGGUGGAGGUAUCUCUGGGUGUACAGGACUUUGGACCUUCUGCUUCAAUCGCUACAAGAUCACAUUGGAGCAUAUUGGUGAGAUCAAACAAGCUUGAUAUUUGUUUCCAUUAUGGAAGACAUCCAAAUAAGCAGUCAGAUCAUGGUGAAGGUUUUAGUUGUGGGAAGUGUAGAAAAUUAUUGUUAGCGUCAUGGCUCAUGUCCUUCUGAGAUCCAUUUGAAUGUCUGUAAUGUGAUCUUCCUAAUCCUUAUGGCCUGGUGAUGGAUUCUAAAAAAUCAUAUGCUCAUGCCCGAUGCAAGUGAAGGUCAGCAUAGGCAUGUUGUUUCUUUACUAGUAUGCAACCAAAUCACUAGCUAGAUUCCUGAAUCAAGAUAUGUAAAUUCUUUCCUGUGUACUUUGCCUUACAUUUUCUGGGUACUAAUCCUUUUUCAUUUGGCGACA